CUUAACAGGGUCCAAGGUACAUCGACACACGGGUCUUGAGAUUUCUUGAGUCUUUCGAAAGUAAACUCCUUAAGAUGAGUGAGGUUGAUUUCAAGGUCGCAGCAUUAAGGAAGCUGGCAAAACAAGAAUUGAUAGCUUUCUUCAACAAGCACAUACGAAUUGGAGCGCCCAAGAGGAAGGUGCUUAGUGUACGAGUUUAUGGGAGCAAGCAUUCAUCAAAUUUUGAAGUGGAUAACAAUAAAGCAGUUGGACCAAACACAGUACGAAUAGAUGACAUUUUUAGCUUCAGGGCAUCGCAACCUCUUUACGGUUCACAUUGAAGAGGGUAUGAACAUAUGGAAGUUCACAGCAAAUUCUAAAUAAGCUACAAUUGAGGAUCUUGGAUAAUGUACUCCUGAAACAUUUCUCCAAAAUCUAUACUACCACGCCACACUUGCCCUGUGGCAUUUGUACCUUAUAGCGUUUUAGUGUUUGGUGUGUGUAAAUGACUAAAGGUAUUACUUGGGAUUUUACUA